GGGUUUUGGGGUUCUGUCUUGUCUGUUAUCUAGUGUUUAGUAACCUUUGUCAUGUCUGUUACCCCAGUGAUCCCUCUGCAUGUCUGUCUCUGUUUCCCCCCCCCGCUCUCUCUCUGCCUACCUGUGCCUCGUUAGCCUCAUGUCUGUCACCUGUGUUGCUCCCGCCCUGCUCGUUAGUCUCUGUGUAUAUAUACCUGGUGUUUCUGUCUUGUCAUUGUUUGUUGUCACCCAGUGCUGCAGUAUGUUCCCUUGUGGUUUGCCUCACUUGUUGUGUUUCCCUGCUCAUUUUGGAUUUCUGUUGGACAACCUUUGUUUUUGGACUCUGUCAAUCAGCCACUCAGUCUGAGUGGAGCCAGGUGUGUGGGAGUCAGGAGACCAGCUUCACGUCAUCGGCCGCAAUCAGCUCUGCCAUAUAUACAUGGUCUUCCCUUCUAUUCAUUGGCAGACUCUCUAGCUGGACCUGAGUCCUGUCACUGGUCCACCCCUGCCUCGCAUGGAUUUUGGAUUCAAGAAUAUUGGAAAAUCAGCUGGAUUGGAAUACAUCCAUCCAUCCAUCCA